rnacentral:rRNA from 1 species
GAUGAACGCUGGCGGCGUGCCUAAUACAUGCAAGUCGAGCGAACAGACGAGGAGCUUGCUCCUCUGACGUUAGCGGCGGACGGGUGAGUAACACGUGGAUAACCCACCUAUAAGACUGGGAUAACUUCGGGAAACCGGAGCUAAUCCCGGAUAAUAUAUUGAACCGCAUGGUGCAAUAGUGAAAGACGGUUUUGCUGUCACUUAUCGAUGGAUCCGCGCGGCAUUAGCUGGUUGGUAAGGUAACGGCUUAUCAAGGCAACGAUGCGUAGCCGACCUGAGAGGGUGAUCGGCCACACUGGAGCUGAGACGCGGUCCAGACUCCUACGGGAGGGAGCAGUAGGGAAUGUGCGGCAAUGGGCGAAAGCCUGACGGAGCAACGCCGCGUGUGUGAUGAAGGUCUUCGGAUCAUAAAGCUCUGUUAUUAGGGAAGAACAAAUGUGUCAUUAGCUAUGCACGUCUUGACGGUACCUGAUCAGGAAGCAACGGCUAACUACGUG